CUACGUAGGGUGCGAGCGUUAAUCGGAAUUACUGGGCGUAAAGCGUGCGCAGGCGGUUUUGUAAGACAGGCGUGAAAUCCCCGGGCUCAACCUGGGAAUGGCGCUUGUGACUGCAAGGCUAGAGUGCGUCAGAGGGGGGUAGAAUUCCACGUGUAGCAGUGAAAUGCGUAGAGAUGUGGAGGAAUACCGAUGGCGAAGGCAGUCCCCUGGGACGAGACUGACGCUCAUGCACGAAAGCGUGGGGAGCAAACAGGAUUAGAAACCCUAGUAGUCC
rnacentral:rRNA from 1 species